CCCUUAGAUGUCCUGGGCCGCACGCGCGCUACACUGACAUGUUCAACAAGCCUCCUAGUUCGACAGGAUUUGGGAAAUCUUUGAACGCAUGUCGUGAUAGGGAUAGAUCAUUGCAAUUAUUGAUCUUGAACGAGGAAUUCCUAGUAAACGCGAGUCAUCAGCUCGCAUUGAUUACGUCCCUGCCCUUUGUACACACCGUCCGUCGCACCUACCGAUUGAAUGUUUCGGUGAAGAUUCCGGAUAGGACUUUUUUGAUUUAUUUCAAUUUUGUCUUAAAAGCUAUCUAAACCUCAACAUUUAGAGGAAGGUGAAGUCGUAACA
rnacentral:rRNA from 1 species